AAUUCCAGCAAACCCGUGCUCUAGCCUCUGCCCUCCUCUCCAUCGUCGGACUCUUCAUCACGCCAUCCUCCCCUCUCCCUCUCACGACUUUACUGUGCCACCUCCGGACUGCCCGAUGUUGUCGGGCGACCGUCGACACUCCUCUCUGAUGUCUUCCCAACCCUCAUUCGCCGCUACCCUUGCGCGCGGUAACUAGCACUGCACGCAGAGGUCGCCAGAUCACCUCAGCACGCAAUGGUCACGGGGUUGCUUCUGUGUACGAUGAUUGCUUUGUCGGCCCUACACAUGAUGGUUGUCGAGAUGCAUCCACGCGACGUUGGCCGCCCCUUCGCCGAAUAAGACUAAUGGAUGAUGUCGAUCCAUCACUAGCAUCUCGAUUCCCUUCCUCCGCCCAUGUAAGCGCUAAGGGCAUCGAUCUACCAUUGGCAUACCACGGGCCUACUGUCGACACUGUACACUCUUCCCCUUGUGCAAUGUCAUUGUUGUCUUUACAGAUCCGAGGAGGAGAGCGCAGAUUCCUCAUUUUACAUCGUGGUGGAUCUGAUUUAGGCUAGCAAUUGAAGGGAGUGGGGCAGCAGUAGACUUGUGUAUCAUUAUCAACCAUCUCCGGAUUUGGGAUUCAAGGUGGAUGUGAUCUUUUGGACUUGUUGAAGACGGUUGACAAGAUCUACAUAUAAAGGUAAUAGGUAGAUGAUGGAGGGUUUACUUGGAGGAUCCUAGCUGUCAGUCCCACGUCACAUUUGAGAUCAGCUUUCCAUGAUAUUUUGUAUUAUGUUAUUAGUACUUUGUAUUUAGAUUGGGUAUUGUGUUAUGUAGUCUUGUUUAUGGUUUUGAGCCUUGUGGCAACUGUUAUUCAAUUUGGGUUUUAUUGUGGUGUAAGUCAUGUCAGUAUGCAGUCAGUCUAUUAUGUUGUGUUGUUUUUAUGUUUUAUUUUUGUCUUCCG